rnacentral:rRNA from 1 species
GGUCUGGCUGACCGGUCCGCCUCACCGCGUGCACUGGUUCGGCCGGGCCUUUCCUCCUGGGGAUCCGCAUGUCCUUCACUGGGUGUGCUGGGGAACCAGGACUUUUACUUUGAAAAAAUUAGAGUGUUCAAAGCAGGUCUAUGCUCGAAUACCUUAGCAUGGAAUAAUAGAAUAGGACGU